GGUGUUUGCUCGAGUUUGUGUGGCCGCCGCCGCGGGAACGCGAGCCCGGUAAUUUUUCAGCGGAGAAAGGCGAGGCUUUCGGGCUUGGCCGAGUGAGAGUGAGUGAGUGGAGCGCUCUAGCAGCUCUCUUCUUCCGUGACACCCGUCAUGGAGGAUGAGCAGAGCCACCAGCCCGGCGGCGAGGCCGUGGCUCCCGCGCGGCACCGGUCGCCGGGGUCGGAGUGCGGGGAGGAGCCGCAGCAUCAGAAUCCUGAGAAAAAGCAGCGAUGUAGACUUGAUGGACAAGAAACAAAAGGAUCUAAGUUCAUUACCUCCAAUGCAAGUGAUUUCAGUGACCCAGUCUACAAAGAGAUUGCUAUUACGAAUGGUUUCAUUAAUAGAAUGAGUAAGGAAGAGCUCAGAGCUAAACUUUCAGAGUUCAAGCUUGAAACCAGAGGUGUAAAGGAUGUACUAAAGAAGAGACUGAAAAACUAUUACAAGAAGCAGAAGCUGAUGUUGAAAGAGGACAAUUGUGUUGACAGUUACUAUGACUACAUUUGUAUUAUUGACUUCGAAGCCACUUGUGAAGAGGGUAACCCGCCUGAGUUCAUACAUGAAAUAAUUGAAUUUCCUGUUGUUUUACUGAACACUCAUACCUUAGAAAUAGAAGAUACAUUUCAGCAGUAUGUGAGACCAGAGAUCAACACACAGCUUUCUGACUUCUGCAUCAAUCUAACUGGAAUUACUCAGGAUCAGGUAGACAAGGCUGAUACCUUCCCUCAGGUACUGAAAAAAGUCAUUGACUGGAUGAAAUUGAAGGAAUUAGGAACAAAGUAUAAAUAUUCCAUAUUAACAGAUGGUUCAUGGGAUAUGAGUAAGUUUCUGAACAUUCAGUGCCGGCUAAGCAGGCUCAAAUACCCACCUUUUGCCAAAAAGUGGAUCAAUAUUCGAAAGUCAUAUGGAAACUUUUACAAGGUUCCUAGAAGCCAAACCAAAUUGACAAUAAUGCUUGAAAAACUAGGAAUGGAUUAUGAUGGGCGACCUCACAGUGGUCUUGAUGACUCUAAGAACAUUGCCCGAAUAGCAGUUCGAAUGCUUCAGGAUGGAUGUGAACUCCGGGUUAAUGAGAAAAUCCAUGCAGGACAGCUAAUGAGUGUGUCCUCUUCACUACCAAUAGAGGGCACUCCAGCUCCACAAAUGCCGCAUUCUAGAAAAUAACAGCAUUUUUGCCCUUUUGCCUGUGGAUCAUUCACUCUAACUGGAGUUGCUACAAAGAGAGUCUGCAUAUAAGUGAUACCGUACAGUAUUUGUUUUCUCCAUCUGGCUUAUUUCACUUAAACCUCCAGGGUCAUCCACAUUGCCGCAAAUGCGCAGUUGAGAAAACAGAAGUCAACUAUCUUGUUCAUGGUCACAAAGCUAGUAUGCGGGAAAGCCAGUAAUUGAAUCCACCUCCCUCUGACCUGGAGCCUGACUGUUAUUGGCCUCGGGGAAGGACCACAGGGAAAAUCAACAGAGGGAGGAAAAUAAAAAGUUAGCCUUUCACUAAAGCAAUCAUUCUCAGCCUUGCCUGCUCAUCGGAACCAUCUGGGAAGCUUUAAAGAUUAUGGACUCCAGGCUCUCACCUCUGGAGACACUGAUUUAAAUGGAUUUGGGGAGCAGCCUGGACUUAGGGAUUUGUUUUUAAAGACUGAGAACCACUGCAUUAGAGGAAACAGUGAUGGGAAUUCAAUAAUUAAAAUUACAUGUCAACACUGAUUUGAGGGUGUCAAAGGUAGGAAUUUGCCUCGUGGCAAAUUACUCAACUGAUGAUAUAAAAAAACGUCCUUUAAGAAAGAGAAAGAAACAGCAAAACUGCUCCUGUAGCUCUGGUGCAAGGUGAUGAAGACUUUUUCCCCUUCUUUCUCCCUCAUGGCUCAGCUAUGAACUUGAGAGCAUGUGGUGGUCACUGAUUUGAUGGGGCUGAUGUAGAGAACAGCUCACUUGUAGAGGAGACGGGGAAGGACAUAGGGAAACUAAACUGGGAAUCAGGGCCCUGUGAUUGCAUUUUUAAUGUACCUGGUCCAGGACCGGAAUUGGGUGGGGACCGUGAGGUGCUCAACCUCGGGCACAAAUUUAAGAGGACUCAAAAAAAAAAAAAAAAAAAAAAAAGGAAACAAAACCCCACCAAAACCCCUCAACCAUCAAGAUAAUUUAGUGCCAUAUUAAAAAUAAAAAUUAAUGCAAAAAACAUCCAUGGUAAAUGAAAUGUCAAGAAUUUAAAUACAGACAGGAUCCGACAGGGCUGGGAAUGGGGCUGGGGUGAGGGAAGUGGGCUGUGUGGUGCAAGUAUGUGGUUGGAUCUCCUGUCUUUAUUUAAAAUGGAUUUUUUUGCGUUAAUUUUGAUUUUUAAAAAUACUGCAGGCAAGCAUUAUUUGUCUUGUGCCCUAUAGCGAGCCCCAGUGAACAUUCCCUCGAGGAGAGUAAAUGACUUUUUUUUUGGCUUAUUCAGAUCCUUCUGAGUUGAGGGAAGGGAAUAUCACAAAAGCAUCAGAAUAUUAGCCUCCAAGAGGCCUGAUGGGAUUUCCUGCAUCAUAGUGAAGGCUUCAGCAGAGAAAUGACCUCAUCAUUCAGAGCCAGCAGGUGAGAAGAGAGAGUAGAAAACCAUGCAGGGAGAGGGGAGGGAGGGUAGGCUGAGUGCAGGACCAGCCCGUGUCAUGAAGGGCAGCCCUGGAGUCCCUAUCUCUGUUGAUUCAUUAGGCUGGGAUGUGGUCUGGGCCCAAACACACAACUAAAACUGUUACCUUGGUAUGUUAACCCAUUUAGCACUCAGUUCCCUUAUCUGUAAAACGGAGCCAAUAAUAGACAUUCCUCAUGGGGAUGUUUUAAAGAGAGAUGACCUAAUACAUAGCCAUGUGGUCUUGGACAAGUUUCUUAGCUCUUCAUGCCUCAGUUUGGCUCACCUAUGAAAUGGGAAUAAUACAGCACCUGCCCAAGGGUUGUUGUGAGGAUUAAAUGGUUAAUGUCUAUAAUGCAUCUAAAAUAGGGUACUACUGAAUGCUUUGUAAUUGUUUGCUAACUAAAGAUUAAAAUGAUGCCUGGCAUAUAGUAAUUUUUAAUAAGUGUUAGAAAUUUUAAUUAUUUUCUGCUUAUGUGACCCCCUCUCCCUCCAUCUCUCCAACUGCAGUGAUUGAUCAGGGAGUAAGAAUCUGGAGCCCAAGAUUUGGGUAUUUCUAACUGUUAGGAUGGGAUGGUGGGAAGACUCUUUCUCCCUGUAGUCCCAAAGUUAUUGCUGCAAAGUCAGGGAAGAAGCUAAUCAGCAGUAGGAGAGAAGAAAGCUAACAAAAAUAAAUUUUUUUUAAAAAGCAAACAAAAAUAAUAUUUGAAAGGAGGGGAGCAGAGAGAGGGAAAAAGACAGACACAGAGAGAUAGACAGUGACAGUCAGAGACAGACCUAAUGGUAUUAGAGACAUGGUUCCCAUGUCUGGAGUCCCAGAAGUUUCUUGGUUUUCUGUCCUUCUGAUCAUGGUUGAAUAAAGAGCUCUUCUUUCUGUUCUGUGAGCUACUUUUAAAUAUAUAUUUCUCAAUAAAUCUAAGCAAGUUUUAGUCAGGUUUCUGUCUCUUGCUAUCAAAAGAAUCUGGAAGAACACCACUUGAUUGGGAACAGUCACCUCCUAUUCUUUAUCUAAUGGGUCUCUUUCUGAUCCUUCGGUCUUCUGAGAUCCCAUGAACGCUUCCUCAGUAACACCAGCAGCAUUCUGGCAUAUGUGGUGUACACCAGCACUGUCAGCUACUUAGCUGAGAAAAACUUAGUGCCAUCACACUGAAGUGCAUUCUUUGCACAAAGAAUUGUGUAAAGCAUUGCACAGUGGUAGGAACCUGGGUCAUAUUUGUCAGGGAAGUAUGUUAACUUCGGGGUACAGUUUAGAAAACUGAAGUAAAGAGAUUUCAUCAGAAAACACAUUUCAGAGCUGUGGCAUAAUAAAAAAUAAAUAUUUGGUCUUUAUCCCAGGUUCUUGGCACAGAAAAUCCCAAAACUCCUUGGGAUUUUCUGAGUGAUAGUAUUAUUUUGUGUUAUGAAUAACAAGCUCCUUUCUAACCGAAUCUAAGUUGAUGUUAAUGAGAUGACAAACGGUGGGACCCUCAGAUAGAUUCAAGGGAGGGGCUGACCACAACAGAAAGACCCAAUGUGAGGUUAGAGGGUUAGAGUUUUCAUCCUCACCCUCAACCUCCAGCGAGAAGAGAAGGGUUGGAGAUUGAGUUCCACCACUAAUGAAUAGAGAUUUAAUCAAUGGUGCCUAAGUAAUGAAACCUUGAUAAAAACUCUUGAACAAUGAGGUUCUGAGAAGCUUCCAGGCUGGUGAACUCAUCAUGGUUCUGGGACAGUGGAGCACCCAGGAGGGCAUGGGAGCUCUGUGCCCUGACCCCUACCCAACCCCUUGCCCUAUGGAUCUCUUUCAUUUCGCUGUUUUUGAGUUUUAUAAUAAAACUGAUUGUAAAUAUA